GGAUUGUGGCUCAGCGGCAGAGCACUUGCCUAGCACGCACCAGACCCGGGUUCGAUCCUCAGCACCA
rnacentral:tRNA from 1 species